UACGUAGGGGGCAAGCGUUGUCCGGAAUCAUUGGGCGUAAAGAGCUCGUAGGCGGUUCGACAAGUCGGGUGUGAAAACUCCGGGCUCAACCCGGAGACGCCACCCGAUACUGUUGUGACUGGAGUCCGGUAGGGGAGUGGGGAAUUCCUGGUGUAGCGGUGAAAUGCGCAGAUAUCAGGAGGAACACCGGUGGCGAAGGCGCCACUCUGGGCCGGUACUGACGCUGAGGAGCGAAAGCGUGGGUAGCAAACAGG
rnacentral:rRNA from 1 species